rnacentral:rRNA from 1 species
UACAGAGGUCUCAAGCGUUGUUCGGAUUCAUUGGGCGUAAAGGGUGCGUAGGCGGCGCGGUAAGUCGGGGUGUGAAAUCUCGGAGCUUAACUCCGAAACUGCAUUCCGAUACUGCCCGUGCUUGAGGACUGGAGAGGAGACUGGAAUUCCUGGUGUAGCGGUGAAAUGCGCAGAUAUCAGGAGGAACACCGAUGGCGAAGGCAGGUCUUCUGGGCAUUAACUGACGCUGAGGAGCGAAAGCAUGGGGAGCGAACAGG